CUCGUAGUUGGAUUUCUGUUUUUAAAAAUCGGUCGUAACCUCACGGUUUCUGUACCAGGUUUCUUAAAUGCAUCCUCAGGGUUCUGAUAUCUGGUAUUAAUUUAUCGGAUUUUUGGUCCUUGUCAUUUACUGUGAGCAAAAUAGAGUGUUCAAAGCAGGCUUAGGCCAUGAAUACAUUAGCAUGGAGUAAUAAGAUAGGACCUUGGUCUAUUUUGUUGGUUUACAUUCCAAGGUAAUGAUUAAUAGGGAUAGUUGGGGGUAUUCGUAUUCAAUUGUCAGAGGUGAAAUUCUUGGAUUUAUGGAAGACGAACUACUGCGAAAGCAUUUACCAAGGAUGUUUUCAUUAAUCAAGAACGAAAGUUAGGGGAUCGAAGAUGAUUAGAUACCAUCGUAGUCUUAACCAUAAACUAUGCCGACUAGGGAUUGGUGGAAUAUAUCAAAGUUCCAUCAGCACCUUAUGAGAAAUCAAAGUCUUUGGGUUCCGGGGGGAGUAUGGUCGCAAGGCUGAAAC
rnacentral:rRNA from 1 species